rnacentral:snRNA from 1 species
UCAGCCCUUUGUCGCUAAG